UUGUCCACUCUUUUUGUUCCAUUGCAUAUUUCUUUCAACAUUUCAUAUGUAGUUAUAUUCUAAUUCUAAUAUCAUCAGAAGUCUUUUGGGUAUCUAAAUCUGUUUGUUGUUUCUGCUGCCUCUCAUUCUGGUGGUUUAUUUGCGUGUGUGUUGAUUUUUUUCUAUGAGCUCUGAGAGGGCAGGGAGUGGGCCCAUAUUUGGUUUUACCUAAUGUGUGGGAAACUGGAGGGAUUCCGUUGUCAAGGGCUUUACUCAGAGAGGAUGUGCUUUAACUUCUGCGAAGAGCUCAAGGACACUCCUACCUGGGCUCGUGCUAGCCCAGAAAUCAGAGUAUUUAGGGCUUAAUGUGAAUGUCAAGUUCAGCUCCCUCACUUUGUUUGGGGUUGGGGAUGGGGAGUGAUAGAACCUAGGUAUAACCUCCCAGCCGCUCUCCAGGAUUCUCCACCAUUCUUCGCCUGCAGCUUUCCAUUCGGUUUUUUCUUUUUUCCUUUCUUCUUCUUUUUUUUUUUUUAGAUGGAGUUUUGCUCGUUUGCCCAGGCUGGAGUGCAAUGGCAUGAUCUCGGCUCACUGCAACCUCCGCCUCCCGGGUUCAAGCGAUUCUUCUGCCUCAGCAGGCUGGGUGCUGAUGUGGCAGACAUUGAACAAGACAUACUCCCUUCCCUCUCAGGGCUCAUAGACUUUGGCGGUGCGGGGGCAAAACCCCCGAAAGGAACUGCUUUCAAAGACCCGGCUG
rnacentral:lncRNA from 1 species